GGAAUCUUCCACAAUGGACGAAAGUCUGAUGGAGCAACGCCGCGUGAGUGAAGAAGGUUUUCGGAUCGUAAAACUCUGUUGUUGGAGAAGAACACGUUUGAGAGUAACUGUUCAGACGUUGACGGUAUCCAACCAGAAAGCCACGGCUAACUACGUGCCAGCAGCCGCGGUAAUACGGAGGACGCGAGCGUUAUCCGGAUUCAUUGGGUUUAAAGGGUGCGCAGGCGGCCUGUCAAGUCAGCGGUGAAAGCCCGGGGCCCAACCCCGGAAGUGCCGUUGAUACGGUCGGGCUGGAAUGCGGUCGAGGCGGGCGGAAUGUGGCGUGUAGCGGUGAAAUGCGUAGAUAUGCCACAGAACGCCGAUAGCGGAGGCAGCUCGCCAGGCCUGCAUUGACGCUCGGGCACGAAAGCGUGGGGAUCGAACA
rnacentral:rRNA from 1 species